UGCUGUCCCUCUCUUACGUUCCGUUUCUCUCUCUCACUCUGUCUCUCUCCCUAACAUUUCGAUUCUCUUACUUUCUCACUGUCUCUCCUUUCCCACUUUCCUUCUCUUUAACUCUCUGUCUCUCUCGCUCUGCCUCUGUCGCUGUCUCUCUCCCUUACAUUUGUUUCUUUCAAUUGCUCUCUUUUCUGUCUCCCUCCUUUCUCUCUUGUUCUUUCUUUUCCCUUUAAUUAUGUUUCUCUCACAUCUCCCCUUUCUCAUUCUCUGCAUUUUUCUUACUCUCUGUUUCUCUCACUCUCUCAUUCUAUCCCUCACCCUCGCGAUCUGUCUCUCUCCCUUACAUUUGAUUUCUCUCGCUCCCCUCCCUUACUUUAGCUCCCCCGCCUCUUCUUUCGUCUAUGGUUCUCUCUCUCACUCAAUGUUUCUCCCCUCUCUGUCUUGUAUUUUAAUAGCACUUUCCCUAAUUCUCUUAUUUUAUCUGCGUCUUCCCCACUGCCCUAUCCCUUCCUUACUGGCUCUAUAGCAUGCUUUCUUUCAGUCUAUUUUCUUCUCUCCCACUCCUCGUUCUCUCUCUCUCCAACAGAACACAGUGGCCUGCGUCAUCCUCUCAGUGUCAGGCAGAGGGAGACAGGGAGACAAGCAGGUGCAGCCAUCUGGGUCAAGAUUAGGCAGACAGAAGGUCACACUCUUUCUGGGUGGAACUGCUAUCUCUCUGGGCAGGUUUGCCCUGUGUGGUGCACACAAUGCCCGCUAUUUCCAUCACAUGGCACUACGCAGCACCACCCUCUGGAGACGACGUGAACUCUGUAGAGUACAGACAUAAGGUUACACACAGACACACGUAGAUACAAGGACAGGAAGAUAAACAGACACAGACAAACAUAUUGAUAGACAUACACACAGAGACAAUACACAUACUCAAAAUCUCAAUCAGAAAAAGGAAACACUGCAUGCACACACACCUGCUCCUUGCUACUGAAGCUGCCCUCAAUAGCUGAUGCCUGCUGAACUGGGUAGCUAUGUGCACCCUCUACUGCUUCCCAUGAUGCUCUACAAACCUCCAGCACCUGGAAUGGAACACACCAGAUUCUAUGUGCAUCACUCCCUUCAUCUCCUGAUAGACGCCUGCUGUCGCACUGAGAGACAUUUGACAACAAUGGCUUCAGGAUUAACAUUGGAGGCUUCAUUCAGUGUUUUAUAAAUCAAGCUAAAAAGGUCCCCUAGUCAAAACUUUGUCUUUCUCCAUCUGAUUUAAUAAGAAUUGCAGCAUAAAAAAAACCUAAGCAGUAGUAACUACAGUGUUAAGAGGACUGAUAAAAAAAAUAUAUAAUUAGAGAAAGUAUUAAUAGCAGCUCAGUAUCAGUGGGGCUACCUUACACUGAAAACCGUGUUGGAAGUGGCUAUCUGUCUUUCUCUAUUAGCCUCUCCUGCUGCGAACAAGGUUGUGGCAAUCCCACACACACAAUAUCCUCAUGGGAAGGCAUAAUAAAGUGUCAAGUAGAAGGAAUUAAUUGUAGUGGAAAUUCAGGGGUCUCAAAAUGGUAUGUCAUCUUUAAUUGUCGGUAAGAGACCCGGCAACACACAAACAAUCCUUUUCUUUCGGUCCUGCAUGCACAAUUCGGCUUAGCAUAAGCUCUUUUCAAUAUAGUCCAUUAUACACUGCCAAAUUGAUGAGCCAACAUUGCGUUGCAAUUUUACAGGCUACAGGGUAUGAGACACUGGAGCAAUGCUGGACAAAAAGCAACAUGGAGACAACAUUAAAUAAGAAGCAUGGACUGAGAUCUCCUCCACCAAGACAGCAGCUGAACCCGUGUGUUUCAUGCACUUGUGUUUGUUCACUUGUGUUUUUUGUUAUAAUCGUUCCAAGACUAUGCAAUUGUAUGUGUGUUUACAUCUAAAUUCUGUUCAUGGUGUGUCUAUCUCUGUAAGUUAUGUCUGAAACAAUUUGUCUGAAACAAUGUCCCCCCCUGUUGCUGUCAUUGUUGGACCAGGUCUCUCUUGAAAAAUAUAAAUUAUCUCAGUGAGACCUGGAUAAAUAAAGGUGAAAUAAAAAUAUACAUUUCAAACUAAGUUUGCACGUGUAUUUAUCACAUAGCUUAUCGUUUGUUGACUGCUAAAGCAGCACUGAAAUUGACCAUCUAAAAACAGGACUCUGUUAAGUUCUGCAAGUACACUUUUUUUAUGCCAGGCAAACUGGCAUUGCAGACACAACAUUACAAAUACAUUUAUCAAACUUUCAAUAUCAUUAUUAUCUGGUACCUAGAUAAAAAAUGACAUUCAAAUAGACAGCCAGAUAGUUAAACAUGCAAAAAAAACACAAGAAGAAAUUGCAGUCAAAUGCAACAGUAGCUAGCGAUAACUAAUUAGAAGCAAGCUAGCUAUCUAGUAUCUACUUUAGCCAUCCCAUCCCACUCAGGGCUCAUCUCAAACAAUGCAAAUCACCAUGGUUUUCGUAUCAUCAUAAAUAUCUCACCCACCUGUCCUGAAAGAUUUUUCUGAGUUUAGCAAUCAGAUCGUCCAGCCUGAAUACGUCAUCAAUAAACCAUCUACAGUGCCUUCAUACUCAUACCCCUUGACUUAGUGCACAUGUUGUUGCAUUAC